UCUACCCCCCCAGGGUAGCCUAAUGGACAUGGCAUCUGCCCGGUAAGCGGAACACUGUGGGUUCGUUUCCCAUCCCUAGAA
rnacentral:tRNA from 1 species